rnacentral:rRNA from 1 species
UACGAAGGGUGCAAGCGUUACUCGGAAUUACUGGGCGUAAAGCGUGCGUAGGUGGUGAGUUAAGUCUGUCGUGAAAGCCCCGGGCUCAACCUGGGAAUGGCGAUGGAUACUGGCUCGCUAGAGUGCGGUAGAGGAGAGUGGAAUUCCCGGUGUAGCAGUGAAAUGCGUAGAGAUCGGGAGGAACAUCAGUUGCGAAGGCGGCUCUCUGGACCAGCACUGACACUGAGGCACGAAAGCCAAGGGAGCAAACAGG